AUGGAGCUUGAUGGAGAGGCAGAACUCAGUAGUGAAGAAUAUCAAGCUGUCCUUGACCUGAGUCUUGCUUGGGACCUUCCUGGCCCAACCAAAGAAAACCGGAAGUGGCUUUUUGAGCGCCUAUUAUCACAUGCGGUCAUUGGAAGGAGAUUACGGCAGUUGAAACAAAUACGUAAAGGACUUAAAGAAACCACAGUGUGGCCACUGUUGAGUGAAAGGAAAGAUGUGGAAAUCUUUCUGAGGGAAAAUGAAAAUUCACUCACCCCAUCGAUGCUGCUUCAAUGUAUCUGCUGGCCCUCGGAUAUCAAUGUGAAUGAUGAUGAUGACGACGACGAAGAUUGUUCGCUAGAAGAUAGAUGUCGCAUCUCGUGGUAUUUGCGUCACUUCAUUGAGACAGGUAUAAAUGUAUUUUUUAAAUAAAUUUUCCUAUGGGGUUUUAUAAUUUGAGUAAAAUAAAGCCUGUGGUAAACUACUUGAUGAAAGUUUUUUGUUGGGUUUGGAACGAUAUUUUGGUGAGUAAUUAAUUGUUGAUUUUGUUUUAUUUAGCAUCCAGCUCAGACCUUAAAAACUUGAAGUUUUGGCUUGGGUGGGAAGUGCCAGAAGGAAAGAUGGUAGUGGAAGUGGUUAACUCUGAGAUGCCGAAGUCCUCCACUUGUUUCAAUGUGCUACGCCUCCCAGCCCACUACAUGGAUUUCAGCAAUUUUAAGGAUGAUCUCCUUAUGUGCAUUGGCACUUCAGAAUAUGGUUUUGGCCUUGUUUAGAUCUGUGAAAUCCAAAACUGUAAUAAUAACACCAGAUCUAUAAAUUAGAUUGCAUUACCAAAGUUUGUCCUGUUUUUUGGACAUUGAUGAAGUUAAAGUAAUACGUUCAUGUAUUAUUGCCGUUUUAUUUUGGAGAAGGGUAAAAACCCAUGCAAUAGUUAACACACCUGCAAUUUAGCAAUCAAUAUCUCUAUGUAUUCAAAAAAAGACACAUGUAAUCUUAUGGUUUAAUUAUCCAUCAUCCAAAUUUUCGAAAUUGGUUCAGCAGUUAAAGUAAUACGUUCAUGUAUUAUUGCCGUUUUAUUUUGGAGAAGGGUAAAAACACAUGCAAUAGUUAACACACCUGCUCUAAAGCAAUUUAGCAAUCCAUAUUUCUAUGUAUUCAAAAAUACACAUGUAAUCUUAUUAUCCACCAAAUAAAUUCAAAUUGUUUCAGCAGUUAAUGUGUCAUUACUCAAGUGCUUGGCAAAACUGCACUACAGCCAUGUAAAUGUCUAUCCCAUAGGAUUGUGAUGGUGACCUAGGAUCCACUGUGUCCUUCAGUGCAGUAAGUUGCUCUGGUGUAAGUGGACAUUGUACAGUGGGCACGUUAACACCAACGCUUUCAUCAGGAGGCAGCCCACUGCUUUCCCAAUCAAUCUCGGCAAUGUUCAUUUCCUGGGUAUACAAAAGACAUUUUAUAUUAUAUUAUCUAUAUGUAUGAAGAGUUCAGAUGCAAAAGCCUCUAAGUGCCAUCUGAAAUUUUCUUCUAGAAUGAUCAUUUUGAUCAAGCUCGUACAAUUAAGUUCAGUAAUUUCACUUAAAUGACAAUUAAUAGGUAAUUUUCAUUGUCAUUUAAGUGAAAUUACUGAACUUAAUUGUACGAGCUUGAUCAAAAUGAUCAUUCUAGAAGAAAAUUUCAGAUCGCACUUAGAGGCUUUUGCAUCUGAACUCUUCAUAUACAUUUUAAAUGCAUCUAUAAAUGGUAUACAAUCUCAGUUCCUAUAAUAGUUCCAAAUAUUACAUUUGCAUGAUUACUGGAAUGCUAAUUAGAAGUUUAAAUGCCACUGAAUUAAUAUUUGAAUUCUCAUGACCGCUGUAAUUUUUCUAAAAAAAAAUAAAAAAAUAAUGUAAACAUGGCUGUGCAUCUGCAUGAAUACCUCUUCGUUUGGGGGAUCAUCAACUUGAUAGUGAAUUUGACCCAAUUCCCAGAGCUGGUUUGGAGACAUGCUAUGUUCUGUUCUCAAAGGGUGAUUAUCCCACCCAUCUCGGAAAAAGUUUAGAUCAUCUUGUAGCCUUGGCAGGAAUGUAUAGUGGCAACAGAAGAGAUGUGUUUGGUCUGCAAUAUUAAGGUAGUUGUCCUCCUCAAGAUAGUGUAGCACAUCAUAGUACACACUGGUCACUGCAGUCCACACAUCUCUCCACAGUCUCUCUAUUCUAUAACAAAAAAAAUUACAAGAAAACUCAUAAGCAAUUAGGUGGUUCAAACAAACACUUGAAGUAUAAAGCACACAGUUAUAUAGUGGAGAUAUCUCUGCCACAUAGUACUUUCUUUAAAUACCUUUGGUUGUGGACACUUUUUCCUGAAAUGAAACUGCUUCUCCCUGUGCCACGAAUUGUGAACAUUAAACGUGCAAUAUCCACAUUCUCAACUCCAUGGUCCCCUCUGACCCUAUAAUGUUACAAAGUUGGUCAAGGUAAUGUUUUAAUACUUAACCCAGUCCUCAUUUCCAAAGGUUAAUUUAAUGUUCCUGGUGAAAAUGAUGCAUAAAAUGAAUAGUUGUUGUUAAAUUUGUGCAUUGGACAACAUUUGACAUUAACAUGACUACACUAUACUUCUGUAAGGAAUAAUUGACGACAGGCCGUUGAAUUAUUAGAAAAAUAAUGCACACCAGAGGUGUAACGGCCACUCUGCUUCGUGACUGCAUUACCACCUUGAGUGUGCAUUAUUUUGCAUUUAAUUUUAAGUCAAUUAUUCAGCUUAUACAAUAGUUACCACAACUUACCACACCUUGAAACAUUGUUCAUAUAAUGUAUUUCAAGACGUUUGUAAAGUUUUUGUCAUUAAAACGCUCUUGUAUGUAGGACAAAUUUCUUACGCAUCUAAUCCCAUGCCCCCGUUGCUAAUUCCAAAAUGUCAUUUUAGAGUUAACGGAGGUUUGAGCCACUGAUAGCAGACUAAUGCUGGGACACACUUAACGACUAGAUGACACAUUCUCUGACUGUUUCCAUUAACGACUGCAGAAGAUUUUAAACACCGCUGUAAACAUAGACUGAACGCGCUGAACACUCAUUUGGGCAUGAUCAGUUAUAAGUAUCAAAGUACAUUCAUAACCGGCCUUACAGUAAGUGUGUCCCCGGCUUUAUGCAUUUAUUAAUGCAGUUAUUAGAGAACGAGAGAGAUGUUGCAAUGAGACCGAAAAGCAUGUGUGUCAAUAUUAUUAUUUAUUCAAUUGG
rnacentral:lncRNA from 1 species